GGCUGGGGCAGGGGCAGCCAGCCUGCCAAAAACAAACCCCCGUGGGGGGAGCAAAGGUGGGGCUGCAGGACACCAGCUGCUUUGGGCUGCAGGCCAGGAAAGGCUUGGGCUGCCUUGGCUUAGGAGCCUUUCUUUGGGGCAAUGCAGCAGGGCAGGGAGAAGGCCUGGGUUUUCCUGAGCUGGAGGAGGUGGGGUUUUUCUUUGGUGUGGAGGGGUUGGGCCUUCCUCAGAACCCUGACAGAAUGUUAACAUUUUACCUUUUUUUCUUGUUUCCACUUUUUGUUUGUAAUCUCUUGUCAUGAAUUUGUUGUUUGUUUUCGAGGAAAGAGUUGGAGCUGGUGCCCAGUCUGGAUUGGGAAGGGCUGGGACCAUCCCUGGAGAGGAUCUGACGUCCCCUCUGAGAAGGCUGAGGACAUCCUUUGGGACACGCUCUUCUUCUGGCAGCAGAUCUUGUGAGACAGGACACCUCUGCCUGAUCUCCCACAGAUCUGAGGGAUCACUGGAUCUUCAUGCCAGCACCAGGACUUUGCUGCAGAAGAGCACAGAUCCCCAGCCCAGUCUGGGACACAGAACCUGUGAAAUGGCAGAAGGAUUGUGGUGUGAAUGCAGCGCCCUCAGAGCCCUUGGUGUGAGCCCGGAAAGGAAAAUCCAUG